AGAGUUUGAUCCUGGCUCAGGACGAACGCUGGCGGCGUGCUUAACACAUGCAAGUCGAACGGAAAGGCCCUUCGGGGUACUCGAGUGGCGAACGGGUGAGUAACACGUGGGUGAUCUGCCCUGCACUUUGGGAUAAGCCUGGGAAACUGGGUCUAAUACCGGAUAGGACUACGCGAUGCAUGUCGUGUGGUGGAAAGCUUUUGCGGUGUGGGAUGGGCCCGCGGCCUAUCAGCUUGUUGGUGGGGUGAUGGCCUACCAAGGCGACGACGGGUAGCCGGCCUGAGAGGGUGACCGGCCACACUGGGACUGAGAUACGGCCCAGACUCCUACGGGAGGCAGCAGUGGGGAAUAUUGCACAAUGGGCGCAAGCCUGAUGCAGCGACGCCGCGUGAGGGAUGACGGCCUUCGGGUUGUAAACCUCUUUCAGUGCCGACGAAGCGCAAGUGACGGUAGGCAUAGAAGAAGGACCGGCCAACUACGUGCCAGCAGCCGCGGUAAUACGUAGGGUCCGAGCGUUGUCCGGAAUUACUGGGCGUAAAGAGCUCGUAGGUGGUUUGUCGCGUUGUUCGUGAAAACUCACAGCUUAACUGUGGGCGUGCGGGCGAUACGGGCAGACUUGAGUACUGCAGGGGAGACUGGAAUUCCUGGUGUAGCGGUGGAAUGCGCAGAUAUCAGGAGGAACACCGGUGGCGAAGGCGGGUCUCUGGGCAGUAACUGACGCUGAGGAGCGAAAGCGUGGGGAGCGAACAGGAUUAGAUACCCUGGUAGUCC
rnacentral:rRNA from 1 species